CCUACGGGAGGCAGCAGUGAGGAAUCUUGCGCAAUGGGCGAAAGCCUGACGCAGCCACGCCGCGUGCCGGAUGAAGGCCCUAUGGGUUGUAAACGGCUUUUACUAGGGAAGAACGAGAGGGUUUCGAUCUUCUGUGACGGUACCUAGUGAAUAAGCACCGGCUAACUCCGUGCCAGCAGCCGCGGUAAUACGGAGGGUGCAAGCGUUGUCCGGAAUCAUUGGGUGUAAAGGGUACGUAGGCGGGAGCCUAAGUCUGGGGUGAAAUCUUGCCGCUUAACGGUAAAAUGGCCCUGGAUACUGGGUUUCUUGAGUGCAGAAGAGGCAGGUGGAAUUCGUGGUGUAGCGGUGAAAUGCUUAGAUAUCACGAAGAACAUCAGUGGCGAAGGCGGCCUGCUGGUCUGCAACUGACGCUGAGGUACGAAAGCGUGGGGAGCGAACAGGAUUAGAUACCCUGGUAGUCCACGCCGUAAACGAUGCAUACUAGGUGUUGGCCUUAGGGCCAGUGCUGCAGUUAACGCAUUAAGUAUGCCACCUGGGGAGUACGUCGGCAACGAUGAAACUCAAAUGAAUUGACGG
rnacentral:rRNA from 1 species